rnacentral:rRNA from 1 species
AUACGUAGGUCCCAAGCGUUGCGCGAUCUCACUGGGCGUAAAGCGUCCCCAGCCGGUCCGGUAAGCGGAUUGUCAAAACCCGCGGCUCAACCGCGGUAGGGCAACCCGAACUGCCGGACUUGAGGCAAGCCCAGGCAGGCGGAAUUCCCGGUGUAGCGGUGAAAUGCGUAGAUAUCUGGAGGAACACCAAAGGGGAAGCCAGCCUGCUGGGGCUGCCCUGACGGUAACGGACGAAAGCUGGGGGAGCAAACCGGAUUAGAAACCCUAGUAGUCC